GACGAACGCUGGCGGCGUGCCUAAUACAUGCAAGUUGAGCGCUGAAGGUUGGUACUUGUACCAACUGGAUGAGCAGCGAACGGGUGAGUAACGCGUGGGGAAUCUGCCUUUGAGCGGGGGACAACAUUUGGAAACGAAUGCUAAUACCGCAUAAAAACUUUAAACACAAGUUUUAAGUUUGAAAGAUGCAAUUGCAUCACUCAAAGAUGAUCCCGCGUUGUAUUAGCUAGUUGGUGAGGUAAAGGCUCACCAAGGCGAUGAUACAUAGCCGACCUGAGAGGGUGAUCGGCCACAUUGGGACUGAGACACGGCCCAAAGGCCUACGGGAGGCAGCAGUAGGGAAUCUUCGGCAAGGGACGAAAGUCUGACCGAGCAACGCCGCGGGAGUGAAGAGGGUUUUCGGAUCGUAAAACUCUGUUGUUAGGGAAGAACGUUGGUGAGGGUGGAAAGCUCAUCAAGUGACGGUAACUACCCAAAAAGGGACGGCUAACUACGUG
rnacentral:rRNA from 1 species